UCUAAAAAUUUAAGCAUAAAUUAUUCUAAAAUCCCGCUUUUCACAGUACUUUCCAUUUCCACCUCCCACGAAUUCCUGAACGGUUGACAAUUCAACCUCAACAUCUAGUAUAGACUAAAGAGGAGAGAGAGAAUAUACUCCGUAAAUAACAAUGGCGUGAUUUGUCUCAAGGUCUUUCCUCAACGCUACCGGAUCUCCUUCCAUCCAACGUUACACCGCCUCCCUUCGCCGCUGCUCCCAAUUUCCGUCUGCAAUUCUCACCGCCACUAUUUCACGAACCCUAGCAACCUUGACGUAUUGGGAUGGGCUUUAUUGCUAAAACCGAUGCCAAGAAAUUUCGCAGGGAUACAAAAGCUGGCAGCCAAAGAGAAAGUGCAAAAUUAAGAAUGUCUGUCAGAUUCUAUGCGGGAAUCACCAAACUCAUGUUCUGGUUUUGGAUCUUCAGUGCCUGGAAGCAUGAUUCUUAGAAAAUUUAAAUCAUGAGCAGUUGAUGCCAAGGCUUGUAUUUGUGCUUUAACGAGCAGAACAAAAGAACUCUUCUUAGGUCACAUAGCGAGUGAAAGAAACGCCAGUGAAGGGGGACAUGGCGAGUUCUGCUGUCAAAAGUUGAGUAUUAUUAUUUUGUUUAUAAUAGACUUGUAUAUUUUAGAAAUUAUGGUGUUACUCCUUAAAGUUUUGAAUAUGUUUCUGAUACAAAGCUGUAAUUGGCAGGUAAAUGUCGUUAAAGGUCUGAAGAUGUACGAAAAAAUAUUUACUGAUCAAGAGCUUUCUGAAUGAUUUCGUGGAUGAGCUCCCAGUUGCUGGACAAAAUGGAGAACUCUUAGGUGAAACAUACAUUGUGUUCAACAAACAGAUGAAGGCUAACUAAAGGGAGCAGAUUUAGCUUGGUGUUCCAAUAUUUGGACAAAUAAAAGAUGACACAACCCCUCAGCAGCAAAAGAGUGGGUUCGUGAGGGGAUUAUUGAAGAGAAACUUGCAACGGACUUGAAUUCUUUUCAACUGGAGAACAAUGAAAGCCUUCGAGUCGGACAAACAAAGCUUUCACAAUUGUCAUUUUGUAGCGUGGAUCAAGAAAUGCAAUAUUAGAAAACUUUGCAAGUACAUAUCAUCACAGUACUCGUUCAAGACGUUGAGCAUUUUACUGUGUCAUUAGACUCAAAAAUACAUUAGAAAUGGAAGACUCUAGCUUAGCUUCUUCUUAUAGUUCAUUAGCACUGAAGUUGGAAUUUUUAAGUAAUUUCUAUUGUUGGGUUGUGGAUAAA